UAGCGAAGGGGGCUAGCGUUGCUCGGAAUCACUGGGCGUAAAGCGCACGUAGGCGGAUUGUUGAAGUACAGGGGUGAAAUCCUGGAGCUCAACUCCAGAACUGCCUUUGAUACUGACGAUCUCGAGUCCGGGAGAGGUGAGUGGAACUGCGAGUGUAGAGGUGAAAUUCGUAGAUAUUCGCAAGAACACCAGUGGCGAAGGCGGCUCACUGGCCCGGUACUGACGCUGAGGUGCGAAAGCGUGGGGAGCAAACAGGG
rnacentral:rRNA from 1 species